rnacentral:lncRNA from 1 species
UCUUUAACAACUAAAACUAAAGAAAGCUGGAAUAACAUUAAGUAAAGAUUAAAGAGUGAUUCCAAGAAAGUUUAAAGUUUUUAACAUGUAAAUAAAACUAAACUACAACAAAAACUAACUUAACUAAUAACUAUGAAAUUUACUCUAAAAAGAAAAGAGAAAAUCUAAACUAAAAAUGAAAAUAAAAAGAAAAGAAAAGAAACCCUAAUCCUAACCUAAAACUAAGGAAAAAGAUGAUAGAAACAAAAAUGAAAAGCUUCUCUCUUU